UACGUAGGGUGCGAGCGUUAAUCGGAAUUACUGGGCGUAAAGCGUGCGCAGGCGGUUUUGUAAGCCAGAUGUGAAAUCCCCGGGCUCAACCUGGGAAUGGCAUUUGGGACUGCAAGGCUGGAGUGCGGCAGAGGAGACUGGAAUUCCUGGUGUAGCAGUGAAAUGCGUAGAUAAUCAGGAGGAAUACCGAUGGCGAAGGCAGGUCUCUGGGCUGACACUGACGCUCAUGCACGAAAGCGUGGGGAGCAAACAGG
rnacentral:rRNA from 1 species